rnacentral:rRNA from 1 species
CGGGGACAACAAUUGGAAACGAUUGCUAAUACCCGAUGUGCAGCAAUGUGAAAGAUUAUUGCCUAGAGAUGAGCUCGCGUCUGAUUAGCUAGUAGGUGUGGUAAUGGCGCACCUAGGCGACGAUCAGUAACUGGUCUGAGAGGAUGACCAGUCACACUGGGACUGAGACACGGCCCAGACUCCUACGGGAGGCAGAAGUGGGGAAUUUUCCGCAAUGGGCGAAAGCCUGACGGAGCAAUACCGCGU